GACGAACCGGACAAACGUUAUUCGGAAUUACUGGGCUUAAAGAGUACGUAGGCGGUCAUGUAGGUCAGGUGUGAAAUCCCUCGGCUCAACCGAGGAACUGCGCUUGAAACCACGUGACUUGAGGGAGAUAGAGGUUAGCGGAACUGAUGGUGGAGCGGUGAAAUGUGUUGAUAUCAUCAGGAACACCAGUGGCGAAGGCGGCUAACUGGGUCUCUUCUGACGCUGAGGUACGAAAGCUAGGGGAGCGAACGGG
rnacentral:misc_RNA from 1 species